AAAUUUUUUUUUUUUUUUGUUUUUUUUUUGCUUUCAUUCAAUCAAUAAUCACUUAGUACAGACUUGAAUAAUACAUCUCAAUAACAUUGUCAGAACAAAUGGGGCCAAUAUUGAAUAGACAUAACAGAACAAAGUGUUUGUACAAGUUGUUAUUCUUAUAAUACACAAGACAAUUAUAUGGCUUGACACAUAGGGAGAGAAAAGAAUAGUGAGAAGAGAGAGAACUCAUUCCAAUGCACUACAGCCAAUGUCAUGGGCUUUACGGUACUAAUGGCAGAAAACAAUACAUGUAUUAAACAGGUUAGUGAAAAUUUUGUUGAAAGAUUAUUGUCUAGUAUAGAUCAGGAUUACGAUGAACAGAUGUUACAACAUGUAGGUAAUGGCACUGGAUUACAGAGAGAAACAAAUAAUUGUUUUUACAAAAUAUUGCAACUUCUAGGAAGAGCUUCACUGUCUCAAGAAUCAAGUCAAGCAUCAUAAAAUAGAGGGAAUGGAAUGGAGAGACUUCAAACCAAACCGAGAAGCUAUCAUAGACCAGCCCUACAGUAGUCCACCUAGUUAUCAAGAGGCAUUGUGUCAAUGCACUCAGUUACUUGACAAAUUAACAUUUACAACUAAGUUAGCAAAGAAUACUGGUGACUAGCAAAUGAAAAAAAAAACAUAACACAGUCAUUCCAUUGUCAUCUUAAUAACAUUACACAGAGGCUGCCAUAUACUAAUAGCAUGUGAAGCUAUGAAUAAAAGCCAAUUUGCUUACACAAUAGUUCAAAAUUGAGCAUCUAGAUACCUUGUUGGACUAACGAGAGUUUAUUUAUAACUUAAAAGACAACCCCCUAGAAAGAUAAUCUAGACCGCUGCAACAUUAAGACCUUUCAGUAAAGGACCUAAUUGCAUUACUACAAUUCUUAUGCAGUCAUUGUGAGAAAUAUGUUUUUAACCAUGGCAACUUUCAAAGAUACAUUACCCUCGACACCCAAAGAAAAGAUACUGCCAAAGAGAUGCACAGCUAGCAAAAAGAGAACUUGAAUAGAUUCAUGGCAGGCCAGAGCUUUGUCUGCACUAGAUAUGACAAAAUAUAUAGGACACAGCUGGGAAUGUGUAGCCACAGAAAGUACUGCAAUCUUCUUAGAACUUGGGGCUCAGAGAAUAUGCCACCAUAAGUUAGGAAACUAAGCAAUUAUAGACAAGUCACAUUAGCAUUCCCACUUCUUUUUUCCCACAUAAUUUGAUCAUUAGCUGGCUGUUUUUCAAACUGUUAAGAUGCAGUUCUCUUGCGUAUACAAGUCUAUGCCAAUUCAGUUCAAAUCUGACUAGACAGACUGAACAAAUCAAAAUGUUAAUCCUAUUCCUUUACCAGAUAACAGAUCAGACUGUAAAGCUUUUCUCACAACAAAGGCAAACAGUAUUAUCUACAUGUUAGUAAAACUAUGUACAUGAUAGAUCUGAUACCAUUCAAUUGCAAAUACAAUUACAAUGAAAAUCACAGAACUAUGGCCAACGUACAAGACUGAAUACACAGACUUUGAACUGAUGGUUCUGUCUGAUAUGUCAACUAAAAACAUCAUGUUUCUAAGGAUAUAGAACAAACAAAUUUCAGAGACAUCAUUUGGGCAUGAUAAGAUCUCAAUAGUAUUGAGAGGUAAAGAUAGUGCUGAUAUGGCCUAAAAAAGUGUCCAUUAGUCUUUAGCUAUUAACUACUUAUACAGUUAAAAUAAAAUAAAAAAAACAACAUAAGGACUCUUUAAAUUGGAGAAAGAAAAUGAAAAAUCUAGUUUAAAAUACUGUACUUAAAAAAAAUGUCUAGGAUCAACUGCACCCUUGUAUUUUAAACUGCAUUUUAACUGCAUCCUUGUAUUUUAACUUCUACUUAUUUGUUAAGUAAAUUUAGAAAGAAACAUCUAGCUUAAAAUGCAAGGAAAAAAAAACAUGCA